rnacentral:tRNA from 1 species
GCCCAGGUGGCGGAAUUGGUAGACGCGCUGGUUUCAGGUACCAGUGCUGCAAGGCGUGGAGGUUCGAGUCCUCUCCUGGGCACCA